rnacentral:lncRNA from 1 species
AUGCUUUUAUAUUCCAACUCAUUCAUAAGUGGUCUCUUAGGUUGAUUCAAUCUUCUCUAAUUCAAUAUGUUGAUAGGUGACCAUUUGAUCAUAUUUUUAACACUUUGAGUUAUUCAUGGGUUAUCUCUAGGUUGUUCCUUAUGUUUGGGUCCCUGGAUCUGUUUGACAGUGGAUCCUAAGUCAAAUACUCAAGUUUGCCUUCAUUUUUCCCUUUUGUUCUAUUCUUUGUUCUUCGAGCU